rnacentral:rRNA from 1 species
CCUACGGGAGGCUGCAGUGGGGAAUAUUGGACAAUGGGGGCAACCCUGAUCCAGCCAUGCCGCGUGUGUGAAGAAGGCCCUCGGGUUGUAAAGCACUUUCAGUGAGGAAGAACGCCUGGUGGUUAAUACCCAUCAGGAAAGACAUCACUCACAGAAGAAGCACCGGCUAACUCCGUGCCAGCAGCCGCGGUAAUACGGAGGGUGCGAGCGUUAAUCGGAAUUACUGGGCGUAAAGCGCGCGUAGGUGGCUUGAUAAGCCGGUUGUGAAAGCCCCGGGCGCAACCUGGGAACGGCAUCCGGAACUGUCAAGCUAGAGUGCAGGAGAGGAAGGUAGAAUUCCCGGUGUAGCGGUGAAAUGCGUAGAGAUCGGGAGGAAUACCAGUGGCGAAGGCGGACUUCUGGACUGAAACUGACACUGAGGUGCGAAAGCGUGGGUAGCAAACAGGAUUAGAUACCCUAGUAGUC